AGGCAGCGCCGCGCCCCCCGCCCCGCUCCUGGGAGCUGGGAGGGGGUUUAGGGGGGGUGCGCAGCGAGACCCCGUCCCCAUCCCUGCCGGGAGCCCUCCUCCCACGGAGCUUCGCCGGGAGCCAUGUGUAGGUUACCUCCUGCCAUCCCCAGCGCCGGUGCCGCGCACUCCUGCCUCCAUCGCGGUGUCACUCGGGCGGGGAGUGCUGCUUACCGAGAGCUCCUGAGCGAGGAGGCAGCGGCAGCCCCUCUCCGUGCCCCCGGGACUCGGGAAGUGCCCUCGAUCGCCCGGCGGUCCCACCAAGGGGUGCCUGCCAUGCAAGAAGCACCCCGUCCUCUGAAACGUGCGGUCAGCUUAACUCCGGACCUAAUACUUAAAAAGUUACAGGCUCGGGGAUGAAUAUUAGCAAAUUUUCAGGCGAGACCAAACAACAACAACAACAAACAAUAGUUUAAAAUGCCGCUGUAGUCCCGAAGAUUUGGCGGAGCGGGGUGUUGCAUAAGUACAAAUGGUGUGUGUAACUUUUGUUUGUAACCGUGGUAAUGACUCCACUUGUAUGUCAAAUUACAGCAGUCACUGCAGCAGCUCUGGAAAGGUAUUCCACAGUUGCUUUUUAAUUUUUCAUGCACAUAUAUAUCUAUAUGCCACCGGCACCUCCACCGAGCAUAUCAUUCUUUCUAUCUGCACACUUUGAAACGCAGAGAAACUGUAUGCAGAACUUGCAUUGAUUCUCCCAUUGAAAGAAAAGGAAAAGAAAGCCUCUCCCUAUGUCCCAUAUCCAUAUCCCUGUAUCCCACCUCUGCUACCCUGACUUCAAGAAGCUUAUGGAGAAAAAUAAGUAGGGUUCAUCGUUGUCAUAACUUUAAAACUUAUUCUUUGAAGACUCGAUUGGACUGAGUACCUAAUUUAAAAGAGAGAGGCAGGGAGAGAGGGAGAGCUCCUCUUGGGUUUGUAGCUCCAACAGACAAGGUGUAAAGAAGCCAUAAUCUGUGAUGGAAGAGCAAAGCUUUGUCCUCCACAGAAUUUAUCUGCCUCUCUUAUGUGGUCAUCUCAUACCCCAGGCUCUGAUGAUCAGGCCUCCCUCCUGUGCCCACACCCUGGUUGUCCUAAGCCCCUGAGCCCCUAGUGCUGGCAGCCCGUUGCUGCUGCCUGCUGAAGCUGGGGUGGUUUUCAUUAGCGCUGAGAAUGAUUCAUGCGAACCAGGAUUACUGACCUUGACCUGACACGUACAGAUACACCCUGUGGUGAUGAAUGUAAUAGAAUAAACAGUUAGAUAUGACUGCAUAUCCCCUCUUGUAGGGCUGUUCUUGCCCAAUUCUAUUGCAUUGUAACACAAAUAAUGACUCAUUUGCUUACCCUCAUAGCACAUUUAGAAACCUGCUAUUCAUCACUGCUUGAAGGCUCUCGAAUAAAUACACUCCCCAAAUGAUUGAUUUAAAUCAAAUAUAUUUCUAUCACUUGAUCCUGUUUCUGUUAUUGUUGAUAAUGACUACACAUGUGGAUGUGUGGUGUAUCAUCUCACUGCUGCUCCACAUUAGGAUGUUUUUUAUAGUGAAUAGUCUUUUGUUAAAUGUACUUUUAUAAUUACAUUUACACAGGGGAGGAGGGGGAGAGAAAAACAAAAGAAAAUAUAGCUGUAGAAGAGCCCACUCUCCAAACACAAAGAAUAUGAAACUUCUACAGCAAUUAGUUGGAAUGCAAAUUAAGAAUAGGGAAUGAAGACACAAGAGCAUUCUUAAAUAUCAUUGUAGAGUGUAAUACCUGUGAUUUAAAGGACCACCUUGCUUAUUCAUCGUAUGCAACAAAAGGUGUAAUGGAGAAUAUGAGCAGCCUCUGUUGAAAAGGAAAGAGAAGAAUACAGAGUAGCUUUUGCAUUCACAGUCCACCUGAGGAUGACAUCUCAGAUUUGUAAGCAGUCAAAUUCAGCUCAGUCCACAUUAGCAAUCCAGCUCUAAUAUGGAAGCCCCAAGGCAGCUCUGCCCCUGCUCAUCUUCCAGUCCACAACUUGCUGGCAAUGUGCUUGUAAUUUACCAUUGACAAGAAUUUCCUCUCGCUGCCUUUUGGUACUGAAGAUAUAUGUAUGUUCUUCUAACCCAGACAAACAGAAAAGCUAGAUGGAGUAGAAAAGCAAUUCACAAAAUGAUACCAAUUCCUUGCAAAACACCACUUCAUGUUCCACUGGGGAAUCUGUGCACUUCCAGGAGAUGCCUCCAGGUUAUAAUGCACUGUGAAUAUGAAUACACUCGUGAUUUUGUACAAACCAGACAAAAAGCAGAAUAACCACAGGCAACAUUUUUCUGGGCUAGCCUACGUGCCUGCAGCUGCCCUCCUCUGCUUUGUACCAGUGCUGUGAGAAAACACCUGAGACAAAGUUUGCUCCUUCACUGCAAAGAAUGCACUUGCAUUCAUGCCGUGCUUUGGGUCAGCCUGUGUGCACUCCUCUUCUUCUGUCUUGUGCUAGAGGAAUCAGAAAAGAAAUGGUACCAGCCGCAAGGAAAGAUGCAGAGCAGGGGUUAGGUUGCCUCGGGGACAUCAGUGUGCACCCCCACCACAGCUUUGUGAUCCUCAGUAUAAUCCUUCUGAAUCUUCUUGCAUGCACCGAGAGCAGUUGUGCACAUGCUAGCACCAAGUCCAGUGGACGUACAGUGCCUGCACGGUGGGCAGCCAUGAUCCUCACCAGCUCAAAAGUGUGAGAGCCAUUGGUGGCUGAGGCUGAGGACAGCUUCAAGCCCAACCUGAACCAAGUCAUAUCCUGUGCUUCCUGUGCUCAUACCUGUUUCAU